rnacentral:rRNA from 1 species
GGGAAUUUUCCGCAAUGGGCGAAAGCCUGACGGAGCAAUGCCGCGUGGAGGUGGAAGGCCUACGGGUCGUCAACUUCUUUUCUCGGAGAAGAAACAAUGACGGUAUCUGAGGAAUAAGCAUCCGCUAACUCUGUGCCAG